GGCUCCUUCACCAGGCUAGGAACACCUCCUCGUGGCUCCUUCACCAGGCGUGGAACACCUCCUUGUGGCUCCUCCAACAGGCAUGGAACACCUCCUCGCGGCUCCUUCACCAAGCUAGGAACACCUUCUCGUGGCUCCUCCAACAGGCGUGAAACACCUCCUUGUGGCUCCUGUAGUUUCCCACGGCAGCGUGCGCCCUGGCCAGCGCCCGCUUGGUCGCCACCAGCUGGACACCGUGACACCUAGCCCCACUACCCAGAGAACAGGCUCCACCAGGACCAGCUUGGUCCAGGUGAUCCAGCCAAGAAACAAUGCUGUUAUAAGACACCAUGGAUAAGGACAGAGAGCCAAUGGAUACCUAUUCUGGGUUUGGCACCGACAGUAAUGAGCCUUGAUGGAUUGCCCUGUCGCAGGUCUAAGGAAACAAAAUGGAGGGGUGGUGAAACAUUAACUAGGCUUGGCAGAAGUGACGGUGAUGAAGUAACCCUGUGGGGCGAAGCCGCUGUUGUCUGCCAAUGAGGCGAUUGUUCCUGUCCCUGUUACUACUCCUACAGGUCAGCUUAGAGGUCAGAGGUCACGGCAGGCUCUGGACCCAGGUUUACUCCAGGCGUUGACUGGAACAGGCUCAUUAUCCAGAUGUGAGGGAUGGAUUCAUGGUCUCACGGCAACCAGAAGUCACUGACGUAACUGUCUUCCAUUCUCAUCGUCAAGGCGAUCUGUAUAGUUACUGUCUUCAACAUCACCAUCAUCACCACCAUCACUAUCCUUCAUCAUUAGCAUAAUCUGUAUCGUCAUAAUUGUCUCCAUCAUCAUCACCAGCAUCACCAUUAUCAAUAUCAUCUUUUCCUUGAAACAACUUCUCCGUACGCAGAUAAACAAUCUCACAAAGACACCCUCAGAGAAAAUCACGUGACACCUACUAAGUACGACGACACAGAACCGUGAUUUAUGCCGCGUGAGAGUGUGAGACCACUCUUUUUGGUAGGAAUUAUAUGUGGUGGUGUAAAUCCACACAUGAUGUUUAUCUCACUGAGAGAAACCCCUCAGGACCUCCCUGCAAGCUGCUUUAAGAUGGAACUGAAUAACAUUCAGUGCCUUUAGCCAAUGACAGAUAGCUUGACAUCAUUCCAGUCUGUACCGUGAGACCACCAAGCUCAUCCAUUUAACAAGCUAAAAUUCACCAAACCACCCCCCCAACCCAAUCCCAUCACCCCCCUCCACCUUAAAAAUAAAUAAAAAGGAAAUACUUCCCCAAAAAUCGGACAAAAAAACCCAAACUUUUCUGAAUCUCAAACCAAUC